AUUGAACGCUGGCGGCAGGCCUAACACAUGCAAGUCGAGCGGAUGAAGGGAGCUUGCUCCUGGAUUCAGCGGCGGACGGGUGAGUAAUGCCUAGGAAUCUGCCUGGUAGUGGGGGAUAACGUCCUGAAACGGGCGCUAAUACCGCAUACGUCCUGAGGGAGAAAGUGGGGGAUCUUCGGACCUCACGCUAUCAGAUGAGCCUAGGUCGGAUUAGCUAGUUGGUGGGGUAAAGGCCUACCAAGGCGACGAUCCGUAACUGGUCUGAGAGGAUGAUCAGUCACACUGGAACUGAGACACGGUCCAGACUCCUACGGGAGGGAGCAGUGGGGAAUAUUGGACAAUGGGCGAAAGCCUGAUCCAGCCAUGCCGCGUGUGUGAAGAAGGUCUUCGGAUUGUAAAGCACUUUAAGUUGGGAGGAAGGGCAGUAAGUUAAUACCUUGCUGUUUUGACGUUACCAACAGAAUAAGCACCGGCUAACUUCGUG
rnacentral:rRNA from 1 species